CCGUCCGGCAUCCUAGGCAGGGUGCCGCGGGACCUCCCUCGUGUCUGUAGUGGUGGGAUUACGUGGCCAAGUUUUCCUGGUGGCCUGGCUGUG
rnacentral:pre_miRNA from 1 species